CCCCAUUAUCCUCGCACUCAGCCGCCGCUCCUCUCUUCCCGAAAUCCCCAAUCGACAGCGCCUUGCUCGACCCCAAAUAAACAACCAGCGGCGGGCGGCAGACGUCGGCCGGUCCGUGCACCUCCGGCCGUCCCUUCCCGUGGGUCACAGCUACUCCUCCCGUUCUCCUCCUCAAGAUCUAAGGCAAGUCGCAAGUGACGGCCAGACGCCGACGGCGACCGGCGAAUCGACGAAGACGGCGACGGUUGAAACCACUUGUAAUCAUCUAAUGUUACAUUGUUUGCAACUUCAGGGGACAACAACUCGUCACUCUCUACAACCUUUCAGACUUGCCUCGAUGAGGAGGAUGAACCAAUGGAUGAAGAACUGUCAACUUGCAGCAACUACUAGGCGUGAUGCAUGCUUUCCAGGAGUACAAAUUGAUGAAUUUAAGAUUAACAAGCUGGAGAUGGGAUGUCCGGCUGUGUGCUUCAACUCAGCCAAUCUGAUUACCUCGCUUUUUAAUUGUUACAAGAACUGGAACUCUCAUUGUUGUAAUUGAGCUAGUAGUACUAGUGCUACGACUAUUUAGUUAUGUGAUAUUGUGGUUAGACUUGAAAAGUUUAUUUGUUGAAACUUCUAAUGUUUCGUUUAUCUGCUAAAAUUCCUGUUUCA